rnacentral:tRNA from 1 species
UCUCUGGCAGUCCAUUGGUUAAGACUCUGCACUUCCAAUGCAGGGGGUACAGGUUUGAUCCCUGGCUGGGGAA